rnacentral:rRNA from 1 species
AGUCGAUUCAGUUACCUUCGGGUAAUGAGGAUGGCGGACGGGUGAGUAACGCGUAAGGAACUUGCCUCUUGGACUGGGACAACUGUUGGAAACGACAGCUAAUACCGGAUAUUAUGAGAUUCUCGCAUGAGAAACUUAUGAAAGCUAUAUGCGCCAAGAGAGAGCCUUGCGUUCCAUUAGCUAGUUGGUGGGGUAACGGCCCACCAAGGCGACGAUGGAUAGCCGGCCUGAGAGGGUGAACGGCCACAAGGGGACUGAGACACGGCCCUUACUCCUACGGGAGGCAGCAGUGGGGAAUAUUGGACAAUGGGCCACAAGCCUGAUCCAGCAAUUCUGUGUGCACGAUGAAGGUCUUCGGAUUGUAAAGUGCUUUCAGUUGGGAAGAAGAAAGUGACGGUACCAACAGAAGAAGCGACGGCUAAAUACGUGCCAGCAGCCGCGGUAAUACGUAUGUCGCAAGCGUUAUCCGGAUUUAUUGGGCGUAAAGCGCGUCUAGGCGGCAAAAUAAGUCUGAUGUUAAAAUGCGGGGCUCAACUCCGUAUUGCGUUGGAAACUGUUUUUCUAGAGUACUGGAGAGGUGGGCGGA